rnacentral:misc_RNA from 1 species
GAUGAAGAACGUAGCGAAAUGCGAUAAGUAAUGUGAAUUGCAGAAUUCAGUGAAUCAUCGAAUCUUUGAACGCACAUUGCGCCCGCCAGUAUUCUGGCGGGCAUGCCUGUCUGAGCGUCAUUUCAACCCUCAGCCCCCGCUCGCGGGGCGCUGGCGUUGGGGAUCGGCCGUCCUCGCGGCGGCCGGCCCCGAAACACAGUGGCGGUCUCUCGCGGACUCCCCUGCGUAGUAGCACUACCUCGCAGAAGGGACGAGCCGGCUGACCACGCCGUAAAACCCCCCACUUCUCCAGGUUGACCUCAGAUCAGGUAGGAAUACCCGCUGAACUUAAGCAUAUCAAUAAGCGGAGGA